CUGGUGGCGAGUGGCGAACGGGUGAGUAAUGUAUCGGAACGUGCCCAGUAGCGGGGGAUAACUACGCGAAAGCGUAGCUAAUACCGCAUACGCCCUACGGGGGAAAGCAGGGGAUCGCAAGACCUUGCACUAUUGGAGCGGCCGAUAUCGGAUUAGCUAGUUGGUGGGGUAACGGCUCACCAAGGCGACGAUCCGUAGCUGGUUUGAGAGGACGACCAGCCACACUGGGACUGAGACACGGCCCAGACUCCUACGGGAGGCAGCAGUGGGGAAUUUUGGACAAUGGGGGAAACCCUGAUCCAGCCAUCCCGCGUGUGCGAUGAAGGCCUUCGGGUUGUAAAGCACUUUUGGCAGGAAAGAAACGUCAUGGGUUAAUACCCCGUGAAACUGACGGUACCUGCAGAAUAAGCACCGGCUAACUACGUGCCAGCAGCCGCGGUAAUACGUAGGGUGCAAGCGUUAAUCGGAAUUACUGGGCGUAAAGCGUGCGCAGGCGGUUCGGAAAGAAAGAUGUGAAAUCCCAGAGCUUAACUUUGGAACUGCAUUUUUAACUACCGGGCUAGAGUGUGUCAGAGGGAGGUGGAAUUCCGCGUGUAGCAG
rnacentral:rRNA from 1 species